rnacentral:rRNA from 1 species
AGUGAACGCUGGCGGUAGGCCUAACACAUGCAAGUCGAACGGCAGCACAGUAAGAGCUUGCUCUUACGGGUGGCGAGUGGCGGACGGGUGAGGAAUACAUCGGAAUCUACUUUUUCGUGGGGGAUAACGUAGGGAAACUUACGCUAAUACCGCAUACGACCUACGGGUGAAAGCAGGGGAUCUUCGGACCUUGCGCGAUUGAAUGAGCCGAUGUCGGAUUAGCUAGUUGGCGGGGUAAAGGCCCACCAAGGCGACGAUCCGUAGCUGGUCUGAGAGGGUGAUCAGCCACACUGGAACUGAGACACGGUCCAGACUCCUACGGGAGGCAGCAGUGGGGAAUAUUGGACAAUGGGCGCAAGCCUGAUCCUGCCAUACCGCGUGGGUGAAGAAGGCCUUCGGGUUGGAAAGCCCUUUUGUUUGGAAAGAAAAGCAGCAGGUUAAUACCCCGCUGUUCUGACGGUACCCAAAGAAUAAGCACCGGCUAACUUCGUG